rnacentral:rRNA from 1 species
CGCUCUUUGUAUAAGGGAAAUAAAGAGUCGGACCUGCCCAGUGACAUACGUGUUAAACGGCCGCGGUACUCUGACCGUGCAAAGGUAGCAUAAUCACUUGCCUUUUAAUUGAAGGCUUGUAUGAAUGGUUUAACGAGAACUAAGCUGUCUCCCUUUAAAUAUUUAGAAGUUAACUUGUAGGUGAAGAGGCUUACAUGUGUUUGAGGGACAAGAAGACCCUUUUGAGUUUUAGUAAAAUCAAAAAGUAGGUUUUAUUUUAAUUUGGAUUAAAAUAUAAUAGCUGUGUGAUGACAUAAGCUGAUUUUUUGGCUAAUCUUUAGUUGGGGCGACUGAGGAAUAUAAUAAGCUUCCUUUAAAGUAUAUUAUGAUUUACUAAUUAAAUUUGAUCCAGUGUCUGCUGAUUAAAGGAAAAAAUUACCAUAGGGAUAACAGCGUAAUCUUUUUGGAGAGUUCUUAUCGAAAAAAGGGUUUGCGACCUCGAUGUUGGACUAAGAUAUCCUAGGGGUGUAGAAGUUCCUAAAGGUUGGUCUGUUCGACCAUUAAAAUCUU